UACGUAGGGUGCAAGCGUUAUCCGGAAUUAUUGGGCGUAAAGAGCUCGUAGGCGGUUUGUCACGUCUGCUGUGAAAACUGGAGGCUCAACCUCCAGCCUGCAGUGGGUACGGGCAGACUAGAGUGCGGUAGGGGAGAUUGGAAUUCCUGGUGUAGCGGUGGAAUGCGCAGAUAUCAGGAAGAACACCCGUGGCUAAGGCGGCUCUCUAGUACGGUACUGACGCUGAGACGCGAAAGCGUGGGGAGCGAACAGG
rnacentral:rRNA from 1 species